UGAAGCAAGAGACGUGAUUUCGGUGCUAAAGAGAUUUAAUGAUAAAGGAAAACAAAGGGCUCGAAAUUAAUCGGCAACUCACCCCCACCGCUUACAAUUGCUUGACCAAGAACGUCUAAAAGGAGUAUAGUGCAUAUUUUCUUUUCUACGAACUCAAGCCUAAAUUACAUUACAUAUUGUCUAGCAAAUGGGAAGAUACUCAGAGUCAUCCCUCGAAAAAAGGAUUCAACAUAUUAAAUUUUAUUCCUUGCCUUUUGCGCAGGGAGGCGUCAAGUAUUUCUUCGCUGAGGUGAAGAACUCUACAAAGGCGAUAUAUUUUGUUAAACACUCCAAGGAUGCCCUCUUGUCGUGCGCCGUGGAUUACAGGAAUCGUUCUUGAGCUGAGAGGAUGCCACUUUUUUCGUUUCCAAGGGACAAACUCCUUGGAAGGCAAUGGGUCCUAAAAAUGAAUUGAAAUCUUUAUAAACCAUAAUAUCAUUCUCGAUUGUACUCUAACAUCUUGAAGAAAUAAGGAAUUCCAACAUUGUUUAAAUAUCUAAAACCUAAAGUUCCAAGGCUCACCAAAAACUCCAACAACCCCAUAUUCAUUCUCGAGAACAAUGCUGAUGCUAAGAAAAUUUAAUAAUUAAGGAAAUCUCAAGCAACUUUUUUAUUUCAAAUUUCAGAUAAAAAAAGAUCUCCACAAUUUCAGGAUCAUACAUACUUUACUCCUUAACCUCCUACUUCCGAAAAUAGAGAAAUAGACUUAGUGGACAUGAAUCUAAUCUCAUCAACAAUAGGAUAUGAAACUUCUCAUAAUGAUAUAUAUAUAUUUUUUUUUUUUUGCAUUAGUUACUUUAUCCUUAGAAAAUAAUAAUUCUAUGUAUUAUAGAUGUUUCUCCUGAGGUAAAAUGAAAUAAAUACCAACAUACAAAUCCAACUUGGAGUCUAUGAAGAAGAAAUAAAGGAAUUAAAGAAGAAGUUGAAGGAGAAAGAUGUCAAAAUUUGGGACGCAGAAUCAAAGUUUAAGUCUUUAAAAAAUGCGCCUCUCUUCGGUAUUUAAUUCAAACUAUAUAAAAAAUUUAAGUUGCAAGUCUUCAUAUUCCAAAACUUGGUCUAAUAAAACCUUCGAUAAUUCACUUCAGUUAAGAUUCGUUGAGGAACAAUUUGUUGUCCAAUUAAUCUAUUACACCAAGAACUGUUUGGAUCAAUUUGAAAAAAAUACAGGCUUGAUUCAAAUCUUAUGUAAAUCAAUUCAAAAAAAUGAAAAAAAUUGUUAGCUGAAGUAGCGAUUCCAUUAAUUUAGUUGUCUAUAAAUGUCACCAAAACUUUAUUUUUUUACUGUGCCUGAGUAUGUUAGUAUAAGAAUGCACAUAUGUUUACGAAUGCAAACUGCGAUUAUCAAAGAAAAUAGAAUAGCGUCUUCUACUUUCGGAAGACGAAGAAUGUGCAUGCAAAAUUAAAUAAGUUAAAGAAAUUAUUAUUAAAGUAAUUAUUCCAUUUUUUCAUAAUAAUUUAACUCAAUAAAAUUAUUUUUUUAGUAUUCA
rnacentral:lncRNA from 1 species